UACAGAGGUGGCAAGCGUUGUUCGGAAUUACUGGGCGUAAAGGGCGCGUAGGCGGCCUUCUAAGUCAGACGUGAAAUCCCCCGGCUUAACCUGGGAACUGCGUCUGAUACUGGGAGGCUUGAGUAUGGGAGAGGGAUGUAGAAUUCCAGGUGUAGCGGUGAAAUGCGUAGAUAUCUGGAGGAAUACCGGUGGCGAAGGCGGCAUCCUGGACCGUAACUGACGCUGAGGCGCGAAAGCUAGGGGAGCAAACGGG
rnacentral:rRNA from 1 species